rnacentral:rRNA from 1 species
GGUAAAUCUCGUGCCAGCCACCGCGGUCAUACAAGAAACCCAAAUUAAUAGCCAUCCGGCGUAAAGAGUGGCCACAUGUUAUCCGCAUUAACUAAGAUCAAAACGAAACUGAGCUGUCAUAAGCCCAAGACUCACCUAAGCCCGACCUAAAAACCAUCUUAGUUCCCACGACCAAUUUAAACCCACGAAAGCCAGGACACAAACUGGGAUUAGAUACCCCACUAUGCCUGGCCUUAAAUCUUGAUAUCCCAUUACCAAUAUAUCCGCCCGAGAACUACGAGCACAAACGCUUAAAACUCUAAGGACUUGGCGGUGCCCCAAACCCACCUAGAGGAGCCUGUUCUAUAAUCGAUAAUCCACGAUUCACCCAACCAUCCUUUGCCAACACAGCCUACAUACCGCCGUCGCCAGCUCACCUCCAAUGAAAGAGCAACAGUGAGCCCAACAGUCUCCACUAAUAAGACAGGUCAAGGUAUAGCCCAUGGGAUGGAAGAAAUGGGCUACAUUUUCUAACAUAGAACAAACGGAAAAGGACAUGAAAACCGGUCCUAAGAAGGAGGAUUUAGCAGUAAGAUGAGAUCAUCCCCAGCUCACCUUAAGACGGCCCUGGGGCACGUACAUACCGCCCGUCACCCUCUUCAAUAAGCCACUAACACCAAUAAAUAAUACCCACCCCGGCUAAAGACGAGGUAAGUCGUAACAAGGUAAGCAUACUGGA